AGCAUUAACAUAUUGCUUGACAUGCAUCAAGAUGUACUAUUGGCAAGAUUUUGUGGAGAAGGGGUUCCAGAUUGGACCAUUGAUCCAGAAGUUGCUAAGAAUUUUCCAGAGCCAUUAUCUCGUCGAUACAUAGUUGAUAAUGUAACAGGCCAUCCAACAUCAGAGGAUUGUGCUAAGCAUGCUUGGGCUGAGUAUUAUCCAACUGAAGCAACUAGUGCAAUGUUCUAGCAGAUUUAUGACAACAAAAAUGGUCUUUUGGAUGAGCUGAAAGAAUUUUGGGUCAAAGUUGCCACUGAAUU